CAUGCAGUCGAGCGGAACGAUACCUUCGGGUAGGCGUCGAGCGGCGGACGGGUGAGUAAUGCAUAGGAAUCUACCCAACUGUGGGGGAUAACUCGGGGAAACUCGAGCUAAUACCGCAUAACCUCUUCGGAGUAAAGCGGGGGAUCUUCGGACCUCGCGCUGAUGGAUGAGCCUAUGUCUGAUUAGCUUGUUGGUGGGGUAAUGGCCCACCAAGGCGACGAUCAGUAGCUGGUCUGAGAGGAUGAUCAGCCACACCGGGACUGAAACACGGCCCGGACUCCUACGGGAGGCAGCAGUGGGGAAUAUUGGACAAUGGGCGGAAGCCUGAUCCAGCCAUGCCGCGUGUGUGAAGAAGGCCCUAUGCUUGAAAAGCACUUUAAGCAGGAGAGACGAGGGGACAAUUAAUACUUUCACCCUUGACGUGACCUGCAGAAAUGCACCGGCUAACUCCGGGCCGCGACCUGCGGUAAUGGGGAGGGUGCGGUCGUCGCGUUGAAUUACUAGGCGUAACGUGCGCGUAGGCG
rnacentral:rRNA from 1 species